rnacentral:tRNA from 1 species
GCCAAGGUGGGGGUCGCGGGUUCGAAUUCACCUUGCCAAGGUGGGGGUCGCGGGUUCGAAUCCCGUCGUUCGCU